rnacentral:misc_RNA from 1 species
UUUCCGUAGGUGAACCUGCGGAAGGAUCAUUAUUGUAUAACCGAGGUGCGAGGGCUGUCGCUGACCCGAAAGGUCGUGCACGCCCGAGUGCCCUCACACGCAUCCAUCUCACCCCUGUGUGCACCACCGCGUGGGUCCCCCCUUGGCUUGUUCGGAGGGGGGCUUACGUUUUCACACAAACUUUGUAUGCAGUGUAGAAUGUAUUUUUUGUUUUUGCGAUCACGCAAUCAAUACAACUUUCAACAACGGAUCUCUUGGCUCUC